UCACAGCUACUGUGCUUAUAAUCUUAUUUUGUGUAACUCAUAUCCAGAGUUACUUCUGUUUAUUUUUAAUGAAAAACUAUCGCUGUUAUCUUCUAUCAUGAGUUAACUGCGGAGUAUGUUUUUUAAAUUUUGUAUAUUUGCUCUCACCCUAAAAGAUACCAUAAGAGACUUUUUUUCCCCUUUUUUUCCCACUGCUUUCCAAGACUCCAGGAAAAACAGCUUCCAUGGCACAUCUUGUACAGGAAACUUCUAGAAUGAGUGCUGCGGAAAGUUCUAUGGAGCAUGCAGAGUGUGCUCAAUCAUCAAGAAGAACGAACUUGACAAAUUCUCUUGAACAAAAGAUAAGGUGCUUGGAAAAACAGAGAAAAGAGCUCCUGGAAGUUAACCAGCAAUGGGAUCAGCAAUUUAGAAGUAUGAAAAAGUUGUAUGAAAGAAAGGUCGCGGAGCUGAGGACGAAACUGGAUGCCGCGGAAGGACGGCUGGGCGCGCCGGAUGGGGAGCGACGGCAGCAGCGCCUGAGAGACGGCGACGGGCCGCGCGAGGAAAAGGAAAAGGAAAGCCUAAAUGAAGAAUUGCAUGAAUUGAAGAAAGAAAAUAAGCUUUUGAAGGAAAAAAAUGCUCUUGCAAACAAGAAGAAGGAACAUUUAGAAUGUGAAAUAAGACGCCUCAAUAAGGCUCUUCAGGAUGCCCUGAGCAUCGAGUGUUCUUCAUCUUCCGGGGAUUGUUUGUGGAAGUCUGGAGAGCGCCGCCUUCAAGAGCUGAGGACAGAAAUGGAAGUUCUCAAGCAGCAGGUGCAAAUAUAUGAAGAAGACUUCAAAAAAGAAUGAUCGGAUCGAGAAAGACUUAAUCAAGAGAAAGAGGAGCUACAGCAGAUUAAUCAGACUUCCCAGUCCCAGCUGAACAGGCUCAAUUCUCAGACAAAAGCUUGUCAGAUGGAGAAAGAAAAACUGGAAAAGCAAUUAAAACAGAUGUGUUUGCCAACCUGUCACUGCAGCUUGGUUUUCCACCUGCGGGAUCCCUGGGGACCAGCAGGCCCUGCGGCUGUGCAGAAUCCACAGGAGCACCCACCAGACUGCCCGUGGUACGCUCCGGACCAGCUUCCGCCAGACGCACAGCACAAGGCCAACGGUGAGAGCACAGCUGCACUGCUCAGUCUUUCAUGUUGACUUUCUGAUGGGAUGUUGACUCAACAUGUAUUCAUUUGUGCUCGGGCAAGACUUACUAUAAAGUCGUGUUGCCCACACAACUUUAAUUUGAUGUACCUGGGGUUAAAUUAAACUCCUAAAAACAAAGAAAAUGUGCAGCUGCAGAAAUGCAUGAAUCUCCAUUCUGGCUUCUGGUCCUGUUCCAGUCUCAGAGCCAGAAUUCCAUCUGGGGCUAGAAAUGAAAACUUUCCGCAUAUCUGUAUGUAACAGCAGCAAAGCUCUGCGAUUGUACUACAAAGGACAAGUGCUCAUCUAUUCCAGGUUUAAAUGUCACUGGCAGACAGACAGAGGCAGCCAAAGGCUCAGAACUGUGUUCCCUUCUGGCUAAAUGUCAGACUCCAUGGCAGAGCUGCUCGUGUAGGCCGGGGUUGCCCACAACAGCCACCUCGUAGUGUGCUGGGAAAAACCACAAGUCGCCUGUCAAGUACUCAUAUCUAAGAGUACUUUGUAAUCUUACUUUUCUUUAGUUUACCAUUCUCCUUCUUUUUUAUAGAAUCUGCUAUACUUUCUACCACUAUACUUUCUAUGGUCUCACAUGGCCCCCUAGAAGGAAGCUGUAUAAACUGAGAUAUAAUCAUAAUCCCACUUUUAUUCUCAUCGCAUAUAAUCCAAAGUCCUUAAUGUCUGCCACAUGUUUGAAGUCUCAUGACACACAACUGUGACUCUGACUUGUUAAUUUCCAAAAAUUUCAAUCUAUCUAAAGAAGCUGAAGAUCUAUUCUAAUUUCAGGCCAUUUAGUUCAGAGCUGAGAUCAUAGAAUUCUAGUUUUUAAUACAGGGAGUCCAUUGUGGAGUGAAAGUAGGGAACCAGGGAUACCACAGUUCGAGUUGUGAACUUCAGAGAGCUGCUGGGUUUGUCAUGGUAGUCUAUGUGAAUGGACGCUCUCAGAGUUGUGCAGUAUACAACCUGGACAGCUGUACACAGCACUGGGAGUGUUAAAGGCCAUAGCUUAUGGUAACAUCACAGAGAAGAAAUAUAAAAUGUGAGAACUCUAUAAUAAAAUGUCCAGGUAGGUAUUUAUCAGAAAACUAUAGGACUUGCUGUUUUUCUUUGCUUUCUACUACAGAUAUAACUAGUGGUUUUAAUGAAGUUCUUGGGCUCCAGCUGUAAUGGAGAGCUUUCGUUAGAAAGGCAUAUUUUCCAGAAUGGUUGUUGCAUAACAUCUGUGCUUUUGAAAUCCAUUGCUGUGUAAUAGCUGAGUUGCUACCCAAUUAUAAUUUUCAUUUUAUAUUGGUCUGGAAUGAAUAUUAAAGAUAUUUUCUCCUUGAGUUGGAGUUUAAUCACUAGAAAAUACUCAAUAGAGAAUUACUCAGAAAUUACUCAGUAGAGAAUUCAGUAAUAUCAUAAGUCCAUUUAUAUAUCACUAUGCUAAUAAUUAUGUAAAAUAGAGAUGAAUUGUGGUGACAUUCAGAAACUAAAUAGAACAUGCAAAAAUGAAAUUUUGUAGUCAGUGUAUGAGACCUGCUGAUUUUGUCUACUUAGGAAAAAUAUAAUUCGUUUUGUGACGUAUACAUAUACAGUGUGUCUACAGAUGUAAAACUACAGUAAAGAAUAAACCUCGGUGCGUACCCACCUAAGUAUUUUUAAAAAUAUUACUAUUUUAAUCUUCACAAGGAUGCUAUAAAAUAGGUUUUAUUUUAAACUGUUUUACACAUGAGGAAACUGAGGCUUGGAGAGUUUAAGUAAUAUAUCUAAAUCCCACGGUAAAUGGUAGCACUGGGAUUAGAAUCUCUGAUAUGCAGGAUUCUAAGACCUAAGCUUUGAAGCAAACCCUGUAGUGCCUUUGAAAAGCUGCCCCUCCACUAUGUUGAAAUUUUCUAACAUUACAAAGAUGAGAAUGGGGCUCCAAUUUGGAUAAUAAUAUGACUAGUGUUUAACCCUCAAUAAUUUCACCUUGCUGUGAACCACAGCAUAUAUUACCUGUGCUGCUCAUCUGACACGUAGAAUCUCACAGGUAAAGGACGCAGUCCUGUGUGAGAGUAAGAGUGCAGUUAGUAUGUUGUGAACUAAUGUGUGCAUGGGCAGGCCUGGUGGGACCUGACAGGGGCGUGUUGCCGUUGGAAACCUGUCCUUCUCCACGCCAGCACAGCUCGGCAGCUCGCAGAGGCUUGUCUGCACCAGGGAGAGGGCUGACCAUGGCUGGGGGGCCACGAAAGGAAUUCUUGGCUCGGAAAUCUGCCUGUGUGGGUUUGCCAUGGCUCCUUCUGGCUCCACAGCCAGUGGUGUAUGUCACAGCUGAAGCCAGGUCACCUGACUCGGCAAGAGCUCUGAAAUCACCCUUGUCACAAAUGAUUCACGUGCCAGCAUAUAAUGUCAGUAGUGAUUCUUGUUUUUUGGUUCAUUUAAUUGGAAAGCUCUUUUUGGUUGUCAGUAGAAAAAAAGCCAAACUCUGUAAAAUAAUUUUAAAGAGAUUUAUUCUGAGCCAAAUUUGAGGCUCAAAGCCAAGAAG